CAUAAGGAAACAACUCGGUAUUUAUACUCUCUCACUCCUUUUGAAAUACUGCUUGAAGAUAAUGGAGCCUUUGGAUCUUUGCUUCUUCAUGCUUCAAUUUUCAGCGAAAUGUUUGAUAUAUCCUUGGAUUUGCUCCAGCGUUGCCCAAGCUUCGCCACAAGACGAACACUUUAUGGAAGCACCCCACUUGUCGAAUUGGCUUGUUUCAACGAUUUAUUUCCUAGCAGCAACCGUUAUGUCUUCUGGAAACAAUGGAUCUAUUCCUGUAUUCAUGUCCAACUACCUGCUUUUCCUGGUGAUGUUCGAAUUGCCAUUCUAGAGAAUGAUCAUGUCAAACAAGGGAAGGGUGAAAUGCGGAGUUUGAGUUCAAAGGUCCUAGACUUUUUUGGACUGAAGCAAAUUUACGAUAGGAAAUUAAGGCAUACCUAUGCUCUUAAAAUUCUAGAGCUGAUGGCCAAGCACGUAUCUUCUAUUGAUGACACUAAACUAAAACAAAAAAGAAUAUAUGAUGCAUUCUUUAAAGCUAUCAAAUAUGGAGUUGUUGAAGUUGUUAUUGAGAUGAUCAAAGCCAAUUCUAUUCUUUUGACUGUCGCCAACAAAAAUUCAAGAGACAUGCUUAUGAAUGCAAUCCAAUAUCGACAAGAAAAAGUUUUUAGCCUUAUAUAUGGGCUUGGUUCCAGGAAGCAACUUCUGAUUUCUGGAUCCGAUGAAUUCGAAAACACCAUUUUACACAUGGCUGCCAAGUUAGCACCUCCUAAUAGACUUGCUGACAUCUCAGGUGCAGCAUUGCAGAUGCAAAGAGAGCUACAAUGGUAUAAGGAAGUAGAAAGCAUUUCGAUUCCUUCAAAUAAAGAAUACAUCAACAGUGACAAUGAACAAGCUAGUGAGAUAUUUUCUAAAAGCCAUAAAGAGCUAAUAAAAGAUGGAGAAGAAACCAAGCUAUUAUGAACGUCCUGUACAGUAGUGGGUGCACUUAUUAUUACUAUAAUGUUCACGGCAGCAUUUACAGUUCCUGGUGGUAACGUUCAAGAAACUGGUUUUCCUAUGUUUGCACAUGAAAAAUCAUUUAUGAUAUUUAUAAUAUCCGAUGCCAUUUCUCUCUUUGCCUCCUCAACAUCAGUGUUAAUGUUCUUAGGGGUCCUUACAUCACGCUAUUCAGAAGAUGAUUUUCUCAAAUCUUUGCCUACAAAGUUGAUUAUUGGUCUUUCUACUCUCUUCAUUUCUAUUGCAGCCAUGAUGGUAGCCUUUUGUGCUACUCUUAUGAUAAUGCUAGAAGGAGAAUUGAGACUUGUCCUUCCAAUCAUUCUUUUGGCUAGCAUACCUGUCACCCUUUUUAUAUUAUUGCAAUUUCCUCUUCUUGUUGAGAUUUUUGUAUCUACUUAUGGACCAGGCAUCUUUGAUAGAAAAAUGAAGCCAUGGUAUUGAACUAUGCAUGUUCAGGAAGCUAUAUUGGCCUUUCUAUUGAAUUUUAUGUUGCAAAGGCGUUGAGUUGAUGUAAUAAGCCAAUGUGAUGCUUUUAGCUAGCAUACCUAUCACCCUUUUUAUAUUAUUGCAAGUUCCCCUUCUUGUUGAGAUUUUUGUAUCUACUUGUGGACCAGGCAUCUUUGAUAGAAAAAUGAAGCCUUAGUAUUGAACUAUGCUUGUUCAGGAAGCAGAAUUGGCCUUUUCUAUUGAAUUUUAUAUUGCAAACGCAUUAAGUUGAUGUAAUAAGCCAAUGAGAGGUGUUUUUCUUUGGGUAA